rnacentral:misc_RNA from 1 species
CUGAGUUCGGGGGCAAUCACAGUCCCGACCUCCAACCCUUUGUGAACAUAUCUUGUUGCUUCGGGGGCGACCCUGCCGUUCGCGGCAUUCCCCCCGGAGGUCAUCAAAACGCUGCAUUAUUACGUCGGAGUAAAAAGUUAAUUUAAUA